GCUCCUGUGGUGAAAUGGAUAUCACACUUGGCUUCGGACCAAGGAUUGUGGGUUCGAAUCCUGCCGGGAGCAC
rnacentral:tRNA from 1 species